rnacentral:tRNA from 1 species
AUUUAAAUAGUUUAAGUUAAAAUACUAGUUUGUGGAAUUAGUGAUAUAAAAUUUUUAUUUUAAAUU